rnacentral:rRNA from 1 species
GAUGAACGCUAGCUACAGGCUUAACACAUGCAAGUCGAGGGGAAACGAUAGAGAAAGCUUGCUUUUUCUAGGCGUCGACCGGCGCACGGGUGAGUAACGCGUAUCCAACCUGCCCAUCACUUGGGGAUAACCUUGCGAAAGUAAGACUAAUACCCAAUGACGUCCAUAGAAGACAUCUGAAAUGGCUUAAAGAUUUAUCGGUGAUGGAUGGGGAUGCGUCUGAUUAGAUUGUUGGGGGGGAAACGGCACACCAAGGCGACGAUCAGUAGGGGUUCUGAGAGGAAGGUCCCCCACAUUGGAACUGAGACACGGUCCAAACUCCUACGGGAGGCAGCAGUGAGGAAUAUUGGUCAAUGGACGAGAGUCUGAACCAGCCAAGUAGCGUGCAGGAUGACGGCCCUAUGGGUUGUAAACUGCUUUUAUAAGGGAAUAAAGUGGGAGUCGUGACUCCUUUUGCAUGUACCUUAUGAAUAAGGACCGGCUAAUUCCGUGCCAGCAGCCGCCGCCG